GACGAACGCUGGCGGCGUGCCUAAUACAUGCAAGUUGAGCGCUGAAGGUUGGUACUUGUACCAACUGGAUGAGCAGCGAACGGGUGAGUAACGCGUGGGGAAUCUGCCUUUGAGCGGGGGACAACAUUUGGAAACGAAUGCUAAUACCGCAUAAAAACUUUAAACACAAGUUUUAAGCUUGAAAGAUGCAAUUGCAUCACUCAAAGAUGAUCCCGCGUUGUAUUAGCUAGUUGGUGAGGUAAAGGCUCACCAAGGCGAUGAUACAUAGCCGACCUGAGAGGGUGAUCGGCCACAUUGGGACUGAGACACGGCCCAAACGCCUACGGGAGGCAGCAGUAGGGAAUCUUCGGCAAUGGACGAAAGUCUGACCGAGCAACGCCGCGUGAGUGAAGAAGGUUUUCGGAUCGUAAAACUCUGUUGGUAGAGAAGAACGUUGGUGAGAGUGGAAAGCUCAUCAAGUGACGGUAACUACCCAGAAAGGGACGGCUAACUACGUG
rnacentral:rRNA from 1 species